rnacentral:lncRNA from 1 species
UACUCGUCCAUUAGAAUUCAACAAAAAAUUACAACCCCCUGAAUCGGAACAAUGGUUGCAACAACAAAAAAGACUGCAGAAUCCGAUCAGUGAACACGACUACCAUUUCAAAAUUACAUUUCGUUGUCAACAAUUUGCAGUCUAACAGCUUCAAACAGUCCGAGGAUGAAGCAAUUUGCAUCCGUAAGCCGCUUCACAUUUUGACCUGAUGAAGGACAAGAAGAGGGAACAUGGUGGGAAAUACCUUCAAGACUGGCAAUUCAUAUGCAUAAUAAUCUGAGAGACAGCAGAAUCGAAUCAACUUCAGUGACAAAAGAUGAAAAAACCCAGAGCCCUUUGAAAAAUUAGGAGUCUCAGACAUCCAAGGAAGGAUAAAAGCAGCAUUGGCUCUCAAGCCCGGCGAAAGGCGAAAGCCCUUAGGCGGCCACUGCGAAUGUUUGAGAAACAAGCCUUUGGAUUUAUCAUCAUCGACGAACCACAAACAUCAAACACAAGAUAUACCAAUUUGGUAUUUUUAGCAGAUUCAAAACCAGAAAAUAGUGGGAAUUAGCUGAAUAUCAGUCUUAAAAAGCUCGAUUUUUGUAUAUAAUCAUGUGAUUAACAUCAGCUGAAUAAUUGUGAUUCAUCAACUGCUCAGCGAAACAGCGGUUGGGAAAUAAUCAAGGAGGUGUAUCAUCGUUUCUUGAACCUUUGAGCCACUGAUAUAAUAACACAGGUUCACCCAAUAACAAUGAACAUAGUGAUUUCCCUGGGGUUAACGAGAGAUCUGUUCACUAAGAUUGUAACAGAUCACUGCUUUUUGUCCACCAGGAAGGAUGCUUAAAUAAAACGGAUAAAAAACAGAAUCACAAGGUCUCAGACAUCCAAGGAAGGAUAAAAACAGCACAAGCUCUCAAGCCCGGCGAAAGGCGAAAGCUCUUAGGCGGCCACUGCGAAUGUUCUUUGAGAAACAAGCCUUAAACUUGUAUCAUCAUUGACCGAGUUUCAAAACUGAAUUGAAAUCUUGCGAAGUCAGACAAGAUUAUGCCUCAAAAUGGUGAGUUCAACACGGAUAAAGAAACCUUUUAUCCGUUCACACAUCUAAUUGAAUCAUCACUCUUCGCCGGAAACAAGUUAUGUGAAACGCAACAAGAACUGGAGCGAACCAGAUGCAAAGUAAAGAGGGCAAACACAUCCCAGUAACUAAACUGCAUGAAGAAGAAAGGAAAGCUCGAUAUUGAAAUUCUUAAGUGAUACCACGCAUGGAAGAGAAUUGAGAACUAGCACAGCUACGAUUCAUUACAUCGGAACUGUGGUGUGGAGCGCGAAGAUGAGUGCUGCGCUUAACCUCUUUUAUAAACAAAGAAGGAAAGCGAAUGAAAUUUCUAGAAUCCACAAGCCGCAGCAAAUGGAAAUGAGAAGCCUAAAAC